rnacentral:rRNA from 1 species
UACGUAGGGGGGCAAGCGUUGUCCGGAAUCAUUGGGCGUAAAGCGCGUGUAGGCGGUUCGAUAAGUCUGCUGUGGAAGUCCAGGGCUCAACCCUGGGAUGCCGGUGGAUACUGUCGGACUAGAGUCCGGAAGAGGAGAGUGGAAUUCCUGGUGUAGCGGUGGAAUGCGCAGAUAUCAGGAGGAACACCGGUGGCGAAGGCGGGUCUCUGGACAGUUCCUGACACUGAGGCACGAAGGCCAGGGGAGCAAACGGG